GCUGGGAGGGGACAUAGCCAGGACAGCUGACCCAAACUGGCCAAAGGGGUAUUCCAUACCGUGUGACAUCAUGUCUAGUAUAUAAACUAGGAGGAGUUGGCUGGGGGGAUCACUGCUCAGGAACUAACUGGGCAUCGGUCAAAGCUGAGCACAUUGGUACCUGCCAGCUCAGGGAAUGUAGGCUGAGCAGCAUUUCCAGCAUGGAUCGCUCGGAAGCGCCCACCUCGGCCAAGCAAUCUCGGAAGCAAUGAGUCCUGCUGCUGCAGCCGUUUACCACCUCGCGGGCAAAGAGCUUGGCGAAAGAGAGCGUCUGAGAGUCAUGCAGAAACACCGUGCCACAUGGCUUCCCAGCGGCUUCCUGCACAGGGCAGCCUCGAUGGCGAGUCUUUAAAUAUGGACUGAACACCUCUGUACUGCAUGAGUGUUAAUGAGGCACAGCUUGGCACACUUGCAAAGCAAAUGUGGAAGACGUCUGCGAGCGUGGGAGCGAAAGAGAUGAGACUUGAGGGAGAGAAGUCUGUGGGACGG